rnacentral:rRNA from 1 species
GACGAACGCUGGCGGCGUGCCUAAUACAUGCAAGUAGAACGCUGAAGAGAGGAGCUUGCUCUUCUUGGAUGAGUUGCGAACGGGUGAGUAACGCGUAGGUAACCUGCCUGGUAGCGGGGGAUAACUAUUGGAAACGAUAGCUAAUACCGCAUAAAAUUGAUUAUUGCAUGAUAAUUAAUUGAAAGAUGCAACUGCAUCACUACCAGAUGGACCUGCGUUGUAUUAGCUAGUUGGUGAGGUAACGGCUCACCAAGGCGACGAUACAUAGCCGACCUGAGAGGGUGAUCGGCCACACUGGGACUGAGACACGGCCCAGACUCCUACGGGAGGCAGCAGUAGGGAAUCUUCGGCAAUGGGGGGAACCCUGACCGAGCAACGCCGCGUGAGUGAAGAAGGUUUUCGGAUCGUAAAGCUCGGUUGUAAGAGAAGAACGGGUGUGAGAGUGGAAAGUUCACACUGUGACGGUAUCUUACCAGAAAGGGACGGCUAACUACGUG